CGGAAGCUUUCCUCAAUGCACCGGGGAGGAGAAGGGUGGAGCAAACAGGCCAAGUCCUCACCAAAGGUCUCCGAGAUCCUUCUGGGCUCCGUCUGGGAGCGCAUGAACACAGUCACCCACUACUACAAACUGUGCAGUUGGGUUUCCCACAUUUGGGGAAAUGGCAGGGGUCAGCACAUCUGGAGUGUAAUGGAUGAGCCGUGCCCUGGAAAAACCACCUUUGUGAUUGUGAUAGCUCCUCUGCCAGUUAAAGGACUGCUAAUGAUCAGCAAAUAGCCAAAGGCAGAGGAGUCAAUCCAAGAUCUCUUCGGUUCUUUCCUAAUCAGGUUCAUCUACGUUGCUGCAAACAACAGAAUCUCACUUUUUUAUGGAUGAAUAGUACUUCAUUGUAUGAUUUCAUGAAGAUUAAUUAGAUACGUCCAUAAAAACAGGACUUGGACUUAAAGUAUAAUAACAACAACAACAGGACUUGGAACAUAAUCUUCAGCAUGAUAUAAUGACAUGUUAUAAUUACGGAAGUGUUAAGGUACGGCUGGGCUGGCUCGUUGAGUGACUCCUAAUAUGCAGUUUAGCAAGUGUUAGAAAGACAGGGUUUCUCAGUUCUACAGAAAGUGGUCAGAAGGCUGACACAGUAACCUUUUGGGUAAGCUUUUGAACACUGGUGUACAACUUCUCUGAAAGCAGGGCGUUUGGUCCUCUGCCUUUCAGGAAUGUUCAUUUUCUAUGUCACUACUUGGCAGUCAUCUUCUUUAUGCAGCUAAACCGGGGACGGCCAACAUGCUAUGUAUCAGAUGGUAGGAAAGAAGUAUUCGGUCUUUGACCUUGAGGAAUCCUGUGGCAGGUGAAGAGAGAAAAACUGGAUGGCUCUGAAAGCUCAGUUCCAUCUUCUUAUAGAAGCUUAGCAAGAAUCCAGCUCAGUAGGUCUGAGUUAGCAUAAAAAAAGAACACAUGGUAUCUGGCUCAUUCUAGCAGUGGUGGCUAAGCUGGCCCCUUUUCUGGUCAGAAAGCUCUCCCUCAGUGGUACAGGAACUGAUCCUUCUGGAGCAUUAGGGUCCACUCCUUGGAUGGCUUGAGGAGGGAGGCCACACCUCAAUGAGUCUUCUGCUUGUGCAAUUCCCCCCAAGUCUUACUUCACAUGUAUACUGCAUGGCACCAUGGGAUGUGGGCCUGCCCUCCUUGACUCAACAAGCUGAAUUCGCUCACCAAAGAGAUAUCCUGGCAGUGCAAGCACACUAACCUUAAUUACUUAUAAACACAGACUAGAAGAAAGUCAGAAUCAAAGUCAAGUGGAAUUCAAAAUGUAGGCAUGACAAUAAAACAGCCCUGGAUUCUGAGGUCCAACAGGUGACAACAGGAAUGGCCCAAAAGUAUUUGUUUGGAGUUCAUCUCUACAUAUAAUUUGAUUUUCUGAAAAUCACUUUCUCCUGGAUUAGGCUGCAAUGAAAAUACCAAGGCAUGUGACAAGGACAGUGGCUACCCGAAUGGGCUUCUCAAAGGUGUGAAGUAACGAACUGAAUAACGCAAGUCCGAAAAUACCACUUAGGUCUCUAGAAAGUUGCAGUUUUAAGUAUUUUUAGUCCUGCAUUGCCCAGAUAAUUAGCCUUCUACCCAUUCUACGUGUUACAUAUGUAAGAAAACAAGCUCUUACGAUAGAGACCAUAAAUCUUGGGGGACAAGAUAAAGAAUAUGCUGAUUUCCACAUUUUCGUAAUGGUCUGCCUAGGGAAAUUUUCCCAAAUUAAUGAGUAUGUUCAUGGGCAAUAAAUUAAAUAAGACCACCCUGGUGGAUUCUUAAAAACGAACCUAUAAAUCAAAAGGAAAGUGAAUUUCACACAAGCACAAUUCAGAAUGUGAACAUUAGAAGACUUGGCUUUUGCUCUCAUACCUGGGCUCUCCUGAGUCAUUCUCCUCCUCUUCUUCCUCACUUCCACUGUACUCAUACUCUGUCUCAUCUGAAGAAAGAUCCCAGCAUGUUAGUGCACAAAAAGAUGCUAUGGCUCAGUAAAGCCCAACCCCGUCUCUUAUAUAUAAAUAAAUAGACACCCAAAGAGUUGUAGUUAACACAGCGCUGGAACGGUCUCCAGGCUUGUGAUUUAAUGGUUCCCAUAAGUAUAUGAAAUUAACCACAUUCAAGGCUGUCUCGGCUGACUCUAGAUAUCUGUCCCCAGUGCCUAGUGUUCACAUGAGAAGGAAUUAAAAAAUAAUUUUUUAAUUUUUUUAUUAAUUUAAUUUCAAUUAAAAAUAACUUGUUUGGCCGGGCACGGUGGCUCACGCCUGUAAUCCCAGCACUUUGGGAGGCUGAGGCGGGCGGAUCACAAGGUCAGGAGAUCGAGACCAUCCUGGCUAACAUGGCAAAACCCCGUCUCUACUAAAAAUACAAAAAAAAUUAGCCGGGCGUGGUGGCGGGUGCCUGUAGUCCCAGCUACUUGGGAGGCUGAGGCAGGAGAAUGGCGCAAACCCAGGAGGGGGAGCUUGUAGUGAGCCAAGAUCGUGCCACUGCACUCUAGCAUGGGCGACAGAGCGAGGCCCUGUCUCAAAAUAAUAAUAUAAUAAUAAUAAUAAUUUGUUUGUGUUAUUCCCACUAUAAAGCCACCCAUAUCAAACCCAUUGGCCCUUUGUAACUUAUUGAUGGUAUUAACCAUUUUUAAAGUAGGAUUUUAUUAUGACUUACAUGGACUUGCAAACUGUCUUUAGACUAUUUUGCUAAGUGCAACAAAGAAACUUUUGACAAUAGGUGCUAUUAAAAAUAUAUAGUGGCCGGGUGCGGUGGUUCACGCCUGUAAUCCCAGCACUUUGGGAGGCCAAGGUGGGCGGAUCAUGAGGUCAGAAGAUCGAGACCAUCUAGGCUAACACAGUGAAACCCCAUCUCUACUAAAAAUACAAAAAAAAAUUAGCUGGGCGUGGUUACAGGCACCGGUAGUCCCAGCUACUUGGGAGGCUGAGGCAGGAGAAUGGCAUGAACCUGGAAGGUGGAGCUUGCAGUGAGCCAAGAUCGCACCACUGCACUCAAGCCUGGGUGAUAGAGUGAGACUCCGUCUCAAAUAUAUAUUUAAAAUUUAAAAAAUGUAUAUCUAUAUUUAAAAUGUGUUUUGAUUGAUCCACUAGGGACAGUCCUUUAAUUCAGCAAAAUGGGAAGCAGUUUACAUGUGUGAAUGAAUAAGAUUGAGGCUUGCUUUGGAAGAGAUCAAAUCUAAUAUGUGAGAUGAGUAAAUAUCAGAGCCUUCAUGAUUGUGAAGAAAGGGAAGGAAUAUUUAGUGGGUAUCUCCCACACCAGUCACUACUGCUAGAUAUUUUACUCUGUUCUCUCAUUUAUUUUUCAUAAUAACCCUCCAAAUUAGUGUCUAUUUUUCAAGCAAGAAUACUGAAAUUACAAGAGGUUAAGUAAUAUAACCAAUGUUAUCUCAUUAAUAAAAGGUCAAUCUAGGAUUUGGAUUUAGAAUUCAAUCCAGAACUUUUCCAACUUAAAAAAUAGUGCUCUUUCCAACAUAUUAUAUGCUAAAUAGCAGUACAUAUAAAGAGCAAUGAGAUAUCAAAGAAAGGAACAGCUAGUGCCACUGGUCAUAAUGGAGGAAGAGACUUGAAGUCUUUGGAGAAAAAAUGAACUGGGCUUUGGAAGGUCAGUGGCCCUUCUCCAGGCAGUUAGCAGCUGGCACUUGUGGGAAAAGGACACUCUAAGCAACAUAUCCACAUGAGUAAGGCUGGCAGUAUUACAGUGCAUAAUAUGUUCAGGAAACAAUGAGCUGUGAGUAGUUAGGUGCCUGGGUGUGAGAAAACCUUAUGGAGGGACAAAGGCUGGCAGGGAUGAAAUGGCUCACUGAUUCUUAUAAAUGCCAUGCUGAGAACUUUCCUAUUGGCAAUGAGGAACCCUUGGAGGAGCUUUUAAGCAAAGGAAGGUGUCACAUUACUCCUAUCUCUUCAUAGCUGUAGGUUAAUAAUUACAACCUUGAAGACAUUUGCACAUCCCUAAAAAGAAACUGAAACUGCAAUUUAGUUAUGUUACCACCAGGAGGCAGCAGUCACACAGUGAGAAUGCUCAGAUUUGAUAAACAUGCCUUGCUUUUCACACUAGCCAUUAAAGAGAUAAUGAAGGAAAGCCAAAAGUUUGAUGAGUUCAAGUGUAUUUUUAAAAUCACAACUUAGCUUCAUACAUUUAGGUAUGUAUGAAGCUUUCAGGCUACUUAUUUUUAAAAUAUUAGUUCACCAAAAUAUAAAGAACCUGCAUAAAGCAUUUUAAUACUCCACCCUAAAAAUGAAAUAUUCCAAACUUUUUCAAAAUGAAUAAACAGAUUUCAAAGUAAAAAUGCAGAAAUUUUAUCUAAUAAAGGAAAUUACAGCAAGGAAAAGAAGCACACAAUUAUUCCAAUUACUUCUACUCUCUAGGGUAAAUCCUUCAUUUGUCAGGCUUCUCAAUUUAAUAUUUAAUACUUCACCAAAAUUUGCUUUUGACUGCUUUUAUAUUACUGGGUUAAAUUUGGCAUGUGUCAGCAUAUGUUAGGGAAAAAAUAUCAGGUUGAAAAAAAUCACAAAUAAUGCAAAAUAGAAUUGCUUUGAUUGAUUCUACCAAAAGUUGGUCAUAGAACAACUAAGAAAGUGAAAAGUAAUAUUAGAGCAAACUAAGUCAUUUGAUUAAACUGAACAAAUGGAAUUAGAUCUCAUUUGAUCAAACACCAUUCCUUGGGGAGCAGACAAAAAGGAGACUAGAACUGUGAUUCUGGUGGCCCUAAGCCUAAACAGGCUUAGAUUCCUUAAAUUACUACAUAACUCUUGAACAUACCUAUUCCCAAGAAUCUUACUUUUCCACUCUGCAGAGAACAAACACAUUAAAAAUGAUCUAUCUUCAUGGCAUGGUGAGUUCUGAGUCACAUUCCAGAGUUUGUGCCCCACAAAAUGUGGAAACAACCUGAGGCACAGGCUUCAAUCACUCUUAUUUAUGCCCCAGAGGGAGAUGGGUCAUGAGUUCUCACAAAGUACUCUGAGUAAGUGAUGAAAAAGUAUGGGUCAAUAAGUAAUUGCCUACAUAAGAAUAACUGAUAUUUACUGAGUGCAUCUAUGUCCUGGACAUUAUGUCAAGCAUUUUAAAUGCAUUACCUCGUUUAAUCUUUGCAACUAUUUGAGGCAGUAGAUAUUAGUAGUAUACUCUCAAUCUUAUUUUAAAGAUGAGAAAACUGGAGUGAUGUUCACAUAACUGAUAAGGGGCAGAGUUAGAAUUUGAACCCAGAAUAUGAAUCUGAAAACAGUCUGAGCACUUAAACUAUGCUAUAUAUUCACCGUAUAAUAAAAUGUCCUUUUGAGAGAAGUUAGCAUUUAAUGGUUGCAUGUCUGACACACUGCCCUAAAAUAUGCCCUUAAAAAUUCUGACUUCAUGGAGUAGCCCAAGACCACCAUGGACAAGGAGCAAUUGAAAAAUCAGUCCUGGAACUUUUGAGUUUGACCUAUGUAUUUCUCUUCAUGCCUAGUUCCUCCAGCUUGGGCUGGCCUCCCAGCUCCUUAGGGUCUAAUUGACAUCUUAUUAACUGCAGAUGAGCCACCGUUUUGGCCUAGCUUCACAACAAUGUAUGAUAGUCUAAGCUGAUCAUACAUUCCUUCAAGUCCCUGCUAGCUGCAUAAGAAUUCUUCCCUGGGGCUGGGUUUGGUGGCCCAUGCCUAUAAUACCAGCACUUUGGGAGGCUGAGGCAGGAGGAUUUCUUGAGUUCAGCAGUUCAAGACCAGCCUGGGCAACAUAGUGAGACCUCGUCUCUACUAAAAAUCUAAAAAAAUAUAAAAUCAGCCAGGCAUGGUGGUGUGCACCUGUAGUCCCAGCUACUUGGGAGGCUAAGAUGGGAGGAUCACUUGAGCCCGGGAGAUAGAGGUUGCAGUGAGCACUCCAGCCUGAGCAACAGAGACAGAGCCUGUCUCAAAAAAUAAAAAAUAAAAAAAGUGCUGGGUGGGUGGCUCAUGCCUAUAAUCCCAGCACUUUGAGAGGCUGAGGUGGAGGAUCCCUUGAGCCCAGGAGUUUGAGACCAGCCUGAGCAACAAAGUUAGAACUCAUCUCAAAAAAAAAAAAAAAAAAAAAGGAACUCUUUCUGGAACCUUCACUGAGAUUCUCUCAUCCUGCCUUAGCCCUCUGCUGAUCUUACCUCUCCAAUCCAGUCUCAACUUUCAUACUGCUCACCGCCCCCACCGCUAGUCCCCAGCUUGUGUUAUGGGUAUUAACUGCAGAGGCAAAGAAGAAAGGAAAUGCAAAUAACAGAAAGGCAGCCUCUGUCCUGUCUGUGGGCUACCCUCCGCUACUGCCUCUGAACUGAAGAGAGGAGAGAAAUGGAGAGGAAGGAAGCAAGAACAAGCACAUCACCAUGUGCCUCCCCUCCCAUCCUCAGUCUCUGGUCUUCCUCUCUACUGUCCACUCACCACACUGUUAAUGCUCAGCUUUCCAGCCUCACACUGCCUUUCACUGCUAUCCUCCCAGCAGCAACCCCCUCCUGCUGUCUACCCAGAAAGCCCUCACUGCUGUCCUCUCCAUUUCUCUCUUCCCAUACUCUAACUUGCCCUACCUCAGCUAGCCAUUAAACCUGCUCCAGACCAUGCAAGUUUUUACCUUGGUCAUGGCGCAGUCAAUAUGCUAGUCAAUCUCCAAGAACAAAUUUGUCUUCCUUUAGAAAGGUACUGUUUCCUCAAAGAUAAAUCCUAUGCCAGAGAGGCACAGGGUAGGGGAGUGCUGGUGAGAGAUACCAUACCGAUGAUUAUGGCAGCAAGCACACAAUGUAGUAGAAAUUAGUGGUGAACCUUAGCUAUGACUCAUGAGUUGUUAAUUGGAAUGCAAAGUUCAAAAGUGAUUCUGAAAUUACUGGUUUCAAAAUUUGCCUAAUGAAAAUUCUCUUCACCAUAUAAGAAUCUUGCUCAUUUCUACAAAAUGCACUCCCCUUACCCAUCCAACCUUAGUUUCACUUUUCUUUGGCUUGCAUUUUGUCUCAUUUGGCAGCUCACCUCAAUGUUCCCUAAUAUACAGUAUUAGCAUACCAUUUCUAUGCUAGUUAAAAAUGUAAGCUUCCAUUCAAAAAGGUAGGGUGCAGCCUGAGACUCCAAGUUUGGACUCAUGUUCUUUCAAUGAUGCAGUGAAGAGACAGUGACAUAUAAGAGCUAGAGUCACAAAGAUGUGCUUUUGCAUAUAUAAAAUAAAGAAGUGUGUUAAAUGACCUUCAGCUCAAAAAUCUGAUGUUCCAUUCAGCAAGCCUGGCAACCUAAUGAUCUUUUCUAUCACUGCAACUAUAAAAAAAUUAUUUCUGACUUCUAAAUAACAGAAUUAGAAAUGAGCCUCAGAGCACAUAAAUUUAAAUGUUGAAGAAUGUCAGUACAGAAAAAUGUCAACUAGAUGAAUUUUUUUCUUUAGGUUAUCUGUCUUCUGUAGAGUUUUAGUCUUCUAAACAUGAAUAUUAAUUUGAAUUAAGAAAAUCACUUGUCAUAUUAAAGUACUUCAUAGUAUCAUUCAACAUGACUUUGUUCAGUGCCUGGCAGAGGUAAUGUUUCUUGCAGUUCUAUUUUUUUCAUGAAAGAUUCUACUUCAAUAGUCUCACGCCACUGAUGCCCAGAGGCUGUGGUCUCAGAGACAGCCCCUCGCACUAAAGAAUAAUGCAGGCCCAUUUGAAAUCCCCAUAGUCACCUCCAAAUACAUCAAGCGCCCAUGAUUCACUCCAUCUUUUGUUUCUGCUGCUGAAAUACAAAUGUGCGUCUAACCUUUUUCUCCUCGCUUCUUCUUUGUUCUAUC
rnacentral:lncRNA from 10 species